rnacentral:pre_miRNA from 1 species
AAUAGAAUUGUUGGGUUAUAUUGUAUGUUUUGCUUUUUGAGGAAAUGCCAAUCCAUUUUCCAAAGUAUUUGCACGAUUUUAUAUUCCCACCAGCAAU